rnacentral:miRNA from 1 species
UGGUGGUAGAUUCAGCGAAACA